GAUGAACGCUGGCGGCGUGCCUAAUACAUGCAAGUCGAGCGAAGAGACGGGGAGGUUGCUCCUCUGACGUUAAAGGCGGGCGGAAGAGUAACACGUGGAUCACCUGCCUAUAAGACUGGGAUAACUUCUGGAAACCGGAGCUAAUACCGGCUAAUAUCUUGAACCGCAUGGUUCAGUAGUGAAAGACGGUUUUGCUGUCACUUAUAGAUGGAUCCGCGCCGCAUUAGCUAGUUGGUAAGGUAACGGCUUACCAAGGCAACGAUGCGUAGCCGACCUGAGAGAGUGAUCGGCCACACUGGAGCGGAGACACGGUCCAGACGCCUACGGGAGGCAGCAGUAGGGAACGGUCGGCAAUGGGCGAAAGCCUGACGGAGCAACGCCGCGUGAGUGAUGAAGGUCCUCGGAUCGUAAAACUCUGUUAUGAGGGAUGAACAAAUGUGUAAGUAAAUAUGCACGUCUUGACGGUACCUAAUCAGAAAGCCACGGCUAACUACGUG
rnacentral:rRNA from 1 species